UACGUAGGGUGCAAGCGUUAAUCGGAAUUACUGGGCGUAAAGCGUGCGCAGGCGGUUUUGUAAGUCUGUCGUGAAAUCCCCGGGCUCAACCUGGGAAUUGCGUUGGAGACUGCAAGGCUAGAAUCUGACAGAGGGGGGUAGAAUUCCACGUGUAGCAGUGAAAUGCGUAGAGAUGUGGAGGAACACCGAUGGCGAAGGCAGCCCCCUGGGUCAAGAUUGACGCUCAUGCACGAAAGCGUGGGGAGCAAACAGG
rnacentral:rRNA from 1 species